CGUGUAGGAUGAUAUUCGACGAACUUCCAAGCGUUGAACAGGCAUGUUGUCGGGUUUGUCAGAAUUCAAAAUUCAACUUUUGAUUGAAGAAACUGCACGGUAAUUUUGAUUUAUUCAGAGACUGAUUUGUUUCCGUUCAGGAGUCGCAUCAUGUAUGAAGAUGAAAACAACUGAGUUUAAAACCUUCAAAAUUUUGAGUUGUUUUCAUCUAGCGAGUUUCAAAUUCUGUGACUUAGCUAAGACGCACACUUUUUCGAGCGCAAACAGAUGAAAACAACUCAGAGCGGUUGAAAACAAAAUUCAUUGGUUGGACGGGGCGACGGCAGCUAUAACCAACGCAGCAGGCACUAACAAACAGAGGCUACCAGCCGCCCCAGUGACUCCAGCCAAACAUUCCCCAUGAUUCAACAACACCAUGGUGUGCCGUGUGCGGAUGCCACUUCAAGAUCCAUCCCCCCGAACUGAAAACCCCGAAGAAGAGUCAGCAGCCGACACGUUAAUGCUUUGAGUUCAUCAUCUACCUUGCAAAAACGCUCGGAAACCAGAUCUAUGGAUCCGUCGAAAGAGGACGACCAAUUUCUAAAAGACGCGGGCAGCUUGGAUAAACAACUUUGUUUGCCGGGUACUGAUUGCAGGAGACAAAAAAUUGCAACCAACAGAUAAAAUUGUAAAUGUAGGUAUAGGUUAUGUAAUUUAGGAAAAUAAAUGGUGCUCAUCCCGCAAAUGACUCGGUUUGAUAUUGAAAUCGAAAAAUUAGAUUUAUUUCUGC